GAUGAACGCUGGCGGCGUGCCUAAUACAUGCAAGUCGAGCGAACGGACGAGAAGCUUGCUUCUCUGAUGUUAGCGGCGGACGGGUGAGUAACACGUGGAUAACCUACCUAUAAGACUGGGAUAACUUCGGGAAACCGGAGCUAAUACCGGAUGAUAUUUUGAACCGCAUGGUUCAAAAGUGAAAGACGGUCUUGCUGUCACUUAUAGAUGGAUCCGCGCUGCAUUAGCUAGUUGGUAAGGUAACGGCUUACCAAGGCAACGAUGCAUAGCCGACCUGAGAGGGUGAUCGGCCACACUGGAACUGAGACACGGUCCAGACUCCUACGGGAGGCAGCAGUAGGGAAUCUUACGCAAUGGGCGAAAGCCUGACGGAGCAACGCCGCGUGAGUGAUGAAGGUCUUCGGAUCGUAAAACUCUGUUAUUAGGGAAGAACAUAUGUGUAAGUAACUGUGCACAUCUUGACGGUACCUAAUCAGAAAGCCACGGCUACUACGUG
rnacentral:rRNA from 1 species